AUUUUUAUUUUUAUUGAUUACUGUAUGAUCAGUUUUGGUGAACACAUUUUGUUUUAUUCACUUUAGUUUGAUCUGAUGCAAUUUCAGUGGCUUCAUGGAUUUGAGUACACAGGGCUCCAGGCUUGUAGACAUUCUAAUCUUGUGUGACUCCCUUUAACCCCAUUCCUGCAAAUCUGCUUGAGGAAAAACUAUGAAGAACCUUCUUCCUCAAACAACAAACACAGUUACUAAAGUGAUAGAGGGAUCUCUGAUUAGCAGCUUUUCUCUGUUGGUGUUGAAAUUUGGUUAAUGCUCAUACUUCUUAUUCCUUAUCUCUCUAGAAAGGGGAACUUUAGUAGAGCUAUAAUUUAGUACUGUGGGGUGUAACCUGCUGUUAAUGUCUGCCAGGUCACUGGAAGAUCUUCUUCAUUAUACUCUUAGCGUUUUGUGACAACUUUUGAACAGGUUCUUUAAAUAAAUGUGUAUUCCUAGAUGCUUUAGGGAUUGAGAGAUCCUUUUCACACUGCUACAAAGAAAGAUUCUCUAAAUUCCAAAGGGCAUUCAUUCUCCCCUUAAUUCUCCUCUCCUCUCCUUUUGGUUUUCUUUUCACUCAAUAGUUAGACCAGUGCACCUUUCACAAGAAUACACUCAAGUUUCAAGAUCUGUACCUUCUUUAACUUAUGUACAUGUAUGUUUAUAGGGAUCUGGUUGAAGAGAAGGAGGUCAAGGCAGAAACACCUAGCUCCCAGAGGGUUACUUGGAGGACCAGAGGUUUUAGGAAAUACGGUGUGUCUCAAUCUGUCUGCAAGUUUCCAUACCAAAGUGAGUAACCAUGGAUAAGGAGUAAAUUGCUGUUUCUAACUUUUAACUUGCAAAUAAGCACUCAACAUUACACUUUUCAGGAGACUUAGAGCUGGUUUUGUUGACGUGACCCAUCCAUUAGUUAAAAACAUGUUUUAAGGAGGUUUUUUUUUUAAACUCAUAGUAUAGCUUUUAGAAUUAUGACUAGUGAAUUACUGUGGGGUUUUAAAUAUGGGGCAAACCUGAAAUCAUUUUCAUCAUUAGAACCAAGCUGUUCUUUUCUGCUAAAGAAGGAGGGCUAAGGAGAAGGGCAUAGUAGAGAUGGAUCUUAUACUCUCAUUGAUUAAAAAACAACAAACAAAUAAAAAGACAAGAGCAGACAUGGAUUUUUGUUCUUCCCCAUCCCCUCAUGUUCACAUAAAUGAGGGUUGGGAGAAGUUGCAUUUCGUAACAGAGCUCCUAAUCUUGCUUUUCUCCUAGGGCACGUCUGUGAUUCCUCCAGCUUUUCUUUCAAGUCCCUUUUCACCCCAAUCCUCUUCUCCUUGAUUUUUAUUUCAUAAAUAGGAAUAAAGUGGCAUAUGUUUUCUGAUCAUGAAAAGGAUAUCAUUUUAUAAUUUUGACAAUAGUAGAACAUCUAAAAUGCACAUUUCUGUAGGAUCAGCAAGCCCUCGAAAUCAGUAGAGCUCCCUACUUGUGUCUCUAGUGAAAGGGGUAGCUUCUCAUCUUAUCUUUUCUGAGAAACAUUAAGAAGUCCUCCCAAGCCUGCCGCAAUGGCAUUGGUUGGGUAUAGUCAUGGACUUGAUCAAGAGGCAGCUAUAUAAUGGCAAAAAGAGGAGACUCACGUGAAAUAUCCACAUCCCAUGCAGAAGGGGAGAUUUGGGGGCGACUACGUGAAACUUCAACACUGAUUUUUCUAAAAGCUUAAGAAGAGCAGUGUCAUCUUGCUUGGUAUGUACCCUAUGGAGAAAGGAUAGCUUUGCCCCUGGGAAAGUUAGAUCAUGAGCAAUCUAAGAUGAUCUCACUCAGUUAUUUAGGGGCUUGAACUUGAUGGGACAUAGGGAAGGCAGUUACUGUUCAACGGUUCAUAGCUGGUCCGGUGGAUUAAUUGCCAGAGAAAGCAGAAGCAAACCCUUGGAGAAUAUACUUUUAUCUCCAAACUUAGGAAUAACUGGAAGCUCAUUUAAACUGGGAGCAUUUCACCCUCCACACCAAGAAAAGAUAACUUCCCUCAAGGGGAUCUGGUGAAUGAAGCAGCGUAUUUUCAUCCUUGUGAUAAUGGGUGUGAGUCAGGCACUACCAUAAAAGAAGAAUUAACUUGAAUGCGCCACAUACUUGGUCUGGCCUUGUCCCAUACCUGUACUCUUGUCAUGGUUGAUUACCUAUGUACAUCAGAUAUAAAGCAAGCAGUCUGCAUUGUGGCAUGAGAUAAAAGGUAUGUUAAUAUGCUCAGGUCACAUAUUAUCUUGCCCAAUAGUAAUUUUAUAUCAUUUGCUUAAAGGAAACUGCACUUAUUGCAAUAUUUUUUUCCAAUGAAGAAAAAUUUAACAUGACUGAAACUUUACAUGUAACCUUGCAUUUGAGUAACAGCAUUGAAUCCUCUCCAUCUCAAACAGAACUUUUAAAUAUUUUUAUUACUUUUGAUAUGCAAAAGCUAAGGAGAAAUGGUUUGGAAGACCUAAGUUAAAUUUCUAAUGAGUCUUGUUUCUUUAAUAGGGGAGAAUUUUAUACAGCUUCGAUGAGUUUUUUCUUUCUACAUGAGAUAAUAUAAACAAACAAAAAAAUAAAAAAGUGAAACAUUUCUCUUCUUACUUUAAGAACCUUAAGGGCUAAAAGAGUGGUUUGGUUUCCUGACUGGCACUUUUGGUUUGCCUUCUCUAAGUGGUCUUGAGCAAUUCCCCAGAGGAAACAUUUGAAGAGGGUUUUUCUCCCACUUGAGAGAGUUUCAUCCCACACAACCCGCAGAAUUUAAUGGCAAACUUCAUGGACCAAGUGUCUGGUUUUACAGAAGUGGCUGUGGAGUAUGUUUUUCCUUUCACAGGUGCACAUUUAUUCUACCUUAGGAAUAAGAAGAGAUCAUUUUAUUUUAAAGAGGGUAGCUUAAACAUUGAAUAUCUCUAAUAAUUGGAUGCCAGUCAGGUAGGUUGUAAUUUACUAAAUGAGGGGAAAAAAAGGUGGAAAGAAGGAUUAAAACUUCCAAAGCCUUUCUCGCUGAUCUUUCUUCACAACCAUCUGGUGUGCACAGAAGUAUUGUAUAAUCUGGCCUCUAUUAUUCUCUUACUGUGAAAUAUAUUGAAAUGCUUUAUGUUUAGGUGUGUGUACAGAAAUUCAUGAAGUUCUUUUAUACACUUUCUUAGUUCCAUCACAAUUCUCAUUUUAGGAUGUCGUGAAAAGAUAGCCUGGUGAGAGAGCACAUUUUACCCUGGCUUGUAAAUUUGGAUUUGUUCCUUCCUAUCUACCAGCCACCUGAUUACUUACUGUCCCCGUGCAAAGGCACCCGUUCACAUCAUUUUUUUCCAAGCGCUAAAACCUGGAAAGAUAUUUUUUUAAAGGACUCACAGAAGCUGUCUUGGGGGUUUGGAAAACAUCACAAAAUUGUUAGCAGACCUUUUGACUGUGCUAUUUUUAGGAAGUUAACUGUGUUCUUUUAAAGUACAUUUUUGACAAUGGGACAACGUUUUCCUUGUCCCCACUGAUGUGUGAAAUAUGUACAGUGAAAACCGUCAGUACAACACCCCAAACAGAUACAUUUUAAACUCAGCAACAGUGAGCAACAGGAGAAAAAGUGAUUUAAAAAGAGAAAGGUUUCGCAAUAUUUAUGCUGCUGUUUCUUCCCUGAGGGAGCUUUUAUUUUACCAUUCAAACAGAAGUUUGUUUUCAAACCAGUUGCUAGUUAAAGGAGCAGCGGAUCGCGCAUCCCUAAGAAUCAGCUCUAACCAAACAGCAAACGCGUUGGCCAGAGGGUGACUUAUUCCCCCAUAGCAACUCCUGAACUAUUUCAUACCAUAACACCCAGAACCCAUAUCAACUGCCAUCAUCAAACAGCGAAAAAGACCCUAAGAAACUCAGUGAGUGAUAAAAUAACAGAACAGAAAACAAACUUCCUGAACACAGAAAAUGAAGUCUCCCUGAAGGAAGGCAAAAGAUAAAAAAGAGAGACUAAAAUGAAGCCAGAAUGGACUGAAUGUCACAGCGUUUAUAACCCACACUGUGGCCGCAAGAAGAGAGUCAAAGAAAAGAUGAUGCUCCCCGCCAUUCCUCAGUGGCUGAAGUGCGUGGCCGGUCAUCAUUCGCUGAGCCCUUACUAGUGAGAUAUUGAGAAUCCGAGAGGUUAAAUUACUUCAAAAUCAAACAAAAAACUAAUCGUAAAACUGGGAUUUAACCCUCAAAGCCUCAACUCCGAAGUUCAAGCUUUACCCCAGGGCCUUAAGACACAGGAACUAGCAUCAGAAAUGUCUCAAAAACAUGAUGCUAUUUGGUUUCUACGUGCUUUAACUCAGCCCACAUCAGCAGCCUCUGUGCUGGAGCAGAAAUGGAAGGAAAAUUCCUGGGACUUUAGUGCUUCCUGCAGCCAGGCUCAGGCCCUUUUCUUCUACAGAUUCUGGGAUGCAAAAAUCAUACUUCUGCUCCAAAAGGAGAAAAUGUGGCUUGCAAUGAGAAUGUAAGUCUCAAGGAGGUAAAGAUGUGAAUCUCUCACUAGUUUCUGCCUCUCCCCAUCCUCCUCACUCACUUCCUACUUCCCAGCAUCAAAGAGCAUGUAAGAAAGGACAACAUUUGGAGGGGCAGGGCUCUUCAGCCCCUGCUUUGCUCUUUUCUAGGUACCUCUUCUUCCUUGAAAACCGUUGCCCCUUUUAUCAAUGUGACACAGCCUUUUGAAAACAGACUCCUUGUUCUUGGAGCUUGGCAGGGAAAAAAAGGCAAGAAUUCAUUUGCAGGUGAGCUAAUUAUUGUAUCCUGUAAGGAUGGCUACACUACAGCACUGACUGUGGCAUUUGCUGUUUAUUAAGUAUGAUAGUUUAUAAAUGACACUGAUUGGAAUGAAGCAACUUAUAAAGCAUGUCUCAAAACAGAAGGAUUUUAUCCCAGAUAGAUAAGAUAGUUAAUUCCCCUUCCUCUUAUUACUUUCCCCUGUGUCUAUGAACACACUGACUAACUUUUCCCUAUAGCUUGGCACAAUACAUGAGUAGAGGAGGCGAUAUGGAAGGAUAAAAACAUUACUCAGGCACACGCUAUGAAAGUUUCUAACAGUUGGCAAGACUCAGUCUGACCUUUAUGUUGAAUUUUGCCAUAGUUUUAAUCACUUUACCAUCACUUGCAGGAGAGAAAGCAUCGUUAAAAAUGCCCUAUUUAGGGAAAACUUCAGAGCCAAGACUAGGUGUAUGUUCUCAUUAUUUCACAUGUUGUCAGAGUAACCAGUACAGUGAAAAGACAGCCUUUUGAAGAAAACAAGUUUGUGGAAAGUGCUUAAUUAAGGUAGGAGGACAUUUUAUUGCAAUUAUUUAUAUUUGUUAUUAAUAUUUUUGACAUUUCACAUUUAUGCAGCAAUAAAUACAAUAUAUGUGAGUUUAUUGCAUCCAAAACUUUACUUCUAAUUUCCUACCACUGUAUGCCAAAGCCCUUGUAAAUUCUAUGUCUUUUGCAAGAACUUUUGGACUAUCUACUGUAUUCUUUAUGUUUCUGUGUAGUUGGCCGAUUUUUUUACUAUAACUGGGAUCUCAUUUGCAAAAAUUAUUAACUGACAUAUAGCAUGUUAAAAGAUUUUCUAAUGUGUUUGUUGAUCAAAGGUGAGCUUAACUUUUUCUCUGUAUGACGACUAACACCCAUAGGAUAAAGCGUUUGAUUUUAUAGUGAUCAUUACUACCAUCAUUCAUUUUAUUUACUGUUCUUUUUCCUAAUUUUGAAAAUAUCAAGCCUGUAGAAAAGUUGCAAUAAGGGCCCUUCAAUUAGAUUUACUAGUUGUUAACAUUCAGUUGUUUGGAAGUUAAUUGCAGACAUCAUGACACUCACUGCCAAAUACUUCAACAUUUCUCUCCUUAAAGGAGAACAUUCUCCCACAAACCACAAUAUAAGUAUCACUAAAAUAAUUAACAUUGAUAUAAUGCAAUUAUCUAAACCCAGUACAUAUUCAAAUUUCCAGAGAUGUCCCAAUGAAAUCUUUCUUUCAUACCCCUCCUUUCAGAAUCCAAUAAAGAAUCAUACGUUACACUUAGUUUUCAAGUCUGUCUAUCCCCCUUUAAUCUAAAGUAGUUCCUAGCUUUUAAAAAAUUUCAUCAUACUAAUAUUUUUAGAGUCCAAACCAUUGUUUUACACACUAUCCCCUAAAAUGAGUAUUUUCUCAUAAUUAAAUUCAGGUGAAACAUUUAUGGCAGGACUAAUACACAGGUGAUGCUGUGUCCUUCACAGAACAGCCUAUCAGAAGUACACGAUGUCAGUGUAUCCCAGUUUGGAGAAUUUAGCUUGAUUACUUGGUUAAGGCAUGUCUGCUGAAUUUCUUCAUUGUAAAGAUGCUCUUUUCUUUUCGUGAUUAAAUAAUCUGUGGAAUAAUAUCUUGCUCUCCAAUGAUUCUAACCCUGAUGGUUUUGGUAUCCAUGAAUUCAUACUGCUUGAAUCAAUCAUUACUACAGUGUCAGCAAAUGAUUUUCUAAUUUCAUCAUUUCUUCCAUGUUUACUAGUUAUGUUUCUAUAAAAAAGAGCUUUUCAUUCAUUUUCUCUUCAACACUUGAAAUUACUAUUUUGAGGUAUCAUUAAGAGCUAUUAAUUGCAAAGGAGUACAGUUGAGUUUUCACUUGUCAUGUAACCGGGUUCAGAAUAAAUUCUUUGAAACUAUUGGCCUAGUUUAUUAGAGAUUCCUUCUUUGUUUAAUGUAUUAUAAUUUAUUCCACUUAUUAUUUGUUAUAAUGCACAAAUUGUCCCAAAUUUGGCAGUGGAAGCCCUGCUAAGCUCUGCUAUUCAUUUCAAUUGCCCUAUCCACUUAACUUCAUAAUUGGAAAUUGGUUUUCAAGACAUUUUUAAAUAAACAGUAGUCCAGUUGUUUGUAGUGAUACUUCAACCCCCUUAUCAACUUUAUUUUUACCUGUGAAAAGUCAUAUAAUGUUUGAGCUCCAACAUGUCAAGAACUUGGAAGUUUUCACUCCUGUCAUUAUAAGAUAAAAAUUAAACAUACUGAACACCAUGACCUUUCUCAGGCCUAGUAGAGGCCUGAGAUCAUAUGUUGAAUUGUCACCUCCAAACCAGGCAAAUUCAGAAUUACUACCAAGAUCUGCUUGCCUGGAGCAGAAGUCCCAGCAAUAAAUUUAUAGCAACACUUAUAUGGCAAACUUGAUGAAUUGUAUAUGCUGAGUGUAGAUGAGCAUAUGGAUGAGAAACUCCUAAGGAAUACAGUGUUAGCCUUCCCAUCCCCCACCACUUUCUUGGGCUUUACCUUCAGGAACUCCACCAGACUCUUAUGGUAGAGUCAAGAAAGAUUCCCUUGUAGCUUUGGCACAAGGGGAAAAAAGUGACUUACCCAAAGCAAUCACCAUACAAAGGCUCACCCUCCAAGGUAAAAGAUAUUACUGGAGCCUUAUCCUAACUGGGAAAAGAGCAUCUACUCCUCUCUAGCUCUUUCUAGCCACCUUGUUUCAUAUAAGUGGUAAGUAAAGCUAAGAAAUACUUGUUAAGGUCACAGCUGAGUGACACAGGCCCAUGUAAAGACUGAGAUUUAAUUGUAAAAUUAUAGAAUGUUCCUUCCCCCCACCCCAACACCUUACCAACACACCAACACACUAACAGAACACAGUAUAACAAAGAAUUACAGCUGAAAGAGGCACAAGACACAGACUCUCUCUGAGGAGGAGUUCUUAGGGAAACC